AGAGUUUGAUCCUGGCUCAGGACGAACGCUGGCGGCGUGCUUAACACAUGCAAGUCGAACGAAGCAUACGGACGGAAGUUUUCGGAUGGAAGGCUGUAUGACUUAGUGGCGGACGGGUGAGUAACGCGUGAGCAACCUGCCUGUAAGAGGGGGACAACAGCUGGAAACGGCUGCUAAUACCGCAUAAGACCACAUCACCGCAUGGUGGAGGGGUAAAAGAUUUAUCGCUUACAGAUGGGCUCGCGUCCUAUUAGGUAGUUGGUGAGGUAAAGGCUCACCAAGCCGACGAUAGGUAGCCGACCUGAGAGGGUGAUCGGCCACACUGGAACUGAGACACGGUCCAGACUCCUACGGGAGGCAGCAGUGGGGAAUAUUGGGCAAUGGGGGCAACCCUGACCCAGCAACGCCGCGUGAGGGAUGAAGGCCUUCGGGUUGUAAACCUCUGUCCUUGGGGACGAAGAAAGUGACGGUACCCAGGGAGGAAGCUCCGGCUAACUACGUGCCAGCAGCCGCGGUAAUACGUAGGGAGCGAGCGUUGUCCGGAAUCACUGGGCGUAAAGGGUGCGUAGGCGGUCAUUUAAGUCAGAUGUGAAAUACCCGGGCUUAACUUGGGGGGUGCAUCUGAUACUGGAUGACUUGAGUACAGGAGAGGAAAGUGGAAUUCCUAGUGUAGCGGUGAAAUGCAUAGAUAUUAGGAGGAACACCAGUGGCGAAGGCGGCUUUCUGGACUGUAACUGACGCUGAGGCACGAAAGCGUGGGGAGCAAACAGGAUUAGAUACCCUGGUAGUCCACGCCGUAAACGAUGGAUACUAGGUGUAGGGGUCAAAAGACCUCUGUGCCGCAGCAAACGCAAUAAGUAUCCCGCCUGGGGAGUACGGUCGCAAGACUGAAACUCAAAGGAAUUGACGGGGGCCCGCACAAGCGGUGGAGCACGUGGUUUAAUUCGAUGCAAACCGAAGAACCUUACCUGGGUUUGACAUGUAAGUGGUGGGAGCUGGAAACAGUGACGAAUCUGCCGCAAGGUAGAUAGCUUACACAGGUGCUGCAUGGCUGUCGUCAGCUCGUGUCGUGAGAUGUUGGGUUAAGUCCCGCAACGAGCGCAACCCCUGCGGCUAGUUGCCAUCAAUACGGUUGGGCACUCUAGCAGGACUGCCAUCGACAAGAUGGAGGAAGGUGGGGACGACGUCAAGUCAUCAUGGCCCUUAUGUCCAGGGCGACACACGUGCUACAAUGGACGGUACAGAGGGAAGCGAGGCAGUGAUGUUGAGCGGAUCCCGAAAAGCCGUUCUCAGUUCGGAUUGAAGUCUGCAAUUCGACUUCAUGAAGCUGGAAUCGCUAGUAAUCGCAGAUCAGCCAAGCUGCGGUGAAUCCGUUCCCGGGCCUUGUACACACCGCCCGUCACACCACCCGAGCCGGGUGUACCCGAAGCCGGUGGCCUAACCGCAAGGAAGGAGCCGUCGAAGGUGUGUCUGGUGAGGGGGGUGAAGUCGUAACAAGGUAACCGUA
rnacentral:rRNA from 1 species